GACUGAGAUGGCUCAGUUGGUAGAGCAUGAGACUCUAAUCUUAGGGUUGUGGAUUUGAACCCCCAUUGGGCA